rnacentral:rRNA from 1 species
UCGAGCGAACGGACGAGAAGCUUGCUUCUCUGAUGUUAGCGGCGGACGGGUGAGUAACACGUGGAUAACCUACCUAUAAGACUGGGAUAACUUCGGGAAACCGGAGCUAAUACCGGAUAAUAUUUUGAACCGCAUGGUUCAAAAGUGAAAGACGGUCUUGCUGUCACUUAUAGAUGGAUCCGCGCUGCAUUAGCUAGUUGGUAAGGUAACGGCUUACCAAGGCAACGAUGCAUAGCCGACCUGAGAGGGUGAUCGGCCACACUGGAACUGAGACACGGUCCAGACUCCUACGGGAGGCAGCAGUAGGGAAUCUUCCGCAAUGGGCGAAAGCCUGACGGAGCAACGCCGCGUGAGUGAUGAAGGUCUUCGGAUCGUAAAACUCUGUUAUUAGGGAAGAACAUAUGUGUAAGUAACUGUGCACAUCUUGACGGUACCUAAUCAGAAAGCCACGGCUAACUACGUGCCAGCAGCCGCGGUAAUACGUAGGUGGCAAGCGUUAUCCGGAAUUAUUGGGCGUAAAGCGCGCGUAGGCGGUUUUUUAAGUCUGAUGUGAAAGCCCACGGCUCAACCGUGGAGGGUCAUUGGAAACUGGAAAACUUGAGUGCAGAAGAGGAAAGUGGAAUUCCAUGUGUAGCGGUGAAAUGCGCAGAGAUAUGGAGGAACACCAGU